CUUCAACAGUUGAGAAAACAAUUACUAAGACGAAACCAACUAGUACAGGUGGCAAUGCAGAAGGACGAUUAUUGACGAUUACCAUGGGCGUGGUUGGCACAGUAGCAAGUUUUAUUUUGAUGUUCGAGGUCGUAUCAAUAGUACAUAAAGUUCAAUAUAUGGAAUCAUCACUUGCUGGCGAGAAACAAACAAGAAAGGAAUCUGAGGAGCAGUUAAUGGAUUCAUUUACAAUUGAAUUGUCAGAUGAUGAUGGUGAAAGAAUACUCACUAAAGGAGUAGACACAAGAAACAU